UACGUAGGGUGCGAGCGUUGUCCGGAAUUAUUGGGCGUAAAGAGCUCGUAGGCGGUUUGUCGCGUCUGCUGUGAAAACCUAAGGCUCAACCUUGGGCUUGCAGUGGGUACGGGCAGACUAGAGUGCGGUAGGGGAGAUUGGAAUUCCUGGUGUAGCGGUGGAAUGCGCAGAUAUCGAGGAGACACCGAUGGCGAAGGCAGAUCUCUGGGCCGUAACUGACGCUGAGGAGCGAAAAGCAUGGGGGAGCGAAACAGG
rnacentral:rRNA from 1 species